GCAAAGUAUGCCGGGAUGGGUGUGGAGGCCGCGGAACUUCUGGCGGGCGCAAGCUAUAUGCCUUGUUGAUCUUGCCGCAUCUUUUUUACUAGAUGUCGGCUGAGUGAGUAGCUACAGUUUUUAACAUGUUUAACUUACGGCCUUCAAAAAUUGUUAGCGGACUUUCUCUGUUGCCUCCUCAGUGAGCUCUGCCCUUUCUCGCAACUCCUUGUCGUCCCACCGCGCCUCUGCACCUCAGAGGAAGGAGAAGAGUAGCGAGGCCGAGCGGGUUUUUAGAUUUCUCUGUGAUUACCCCCAGCCUUGUCUUUUCUGACUUUACCGUCCCCGCUUGGGGUACUGCUUUUUGAGGCUCCCUCGGCCACAUUUUUGUGGUUCGUGAGAGGUUUCAGUUGAGGUGAACUUUUUGCCCCUGUGAUCUUGGACAGUUUAUGAUUCUUCAUAUCUCAGUAUCAUCUUCUCUAAAGCAGGGUUGAUAAUAUUUUUUAUAUUAGUAAUAUAUAAUAUAUUCUAAUAUAUAUAAUAUAUUCUAAUAUAUAAUAUAUUCUAAUAUAUAUAAUAUAUUAAUAUUAUCAAAGCAAUGUUGAUAAUAUUUUUCACAUUUGCUAUGUGCUUAUAAGGCGCCCAUUGUAUGUAGAGUGCGUUGCAUAUGGAAAGCAGAGUGAACAUAAUGGAUGUUUGUAAUGAUAGCUAUGGCUUUGGCAUCAUUUUUGUGUCUCCCCAUUUUUUUCUAAAAUCCCUGGAAUGGUUCGGGCCUUGAAUUCCGACAGAAGAGAUUUAGGUGGUAGCAAAGCACGUCCAACAUGGAGUUUGCUGGGCCUGCACAACUUGGAGCUUCUCUGUACCCUUUUCUUCAGAGAACUUUUAGAACACAACCCUCAACUUCCCGUCUUCUGGAUUCUCUUCCUAGCACUAAGCAAUGAUCUUUGUAAAAAUAGCCCCACUGACUUAUACGUCUUUACUAUCUGAAUUUUAUCAAGAGAAUCGAGGGGGGAAAAAAGAAUUUUGAAUAACUAGUUCUAGAAGGACAAGAACUGUUCUUUUAAAAGGACCCUGAAAAGCUGACAGUCCUCUUGUAGUUUCUUCACCAUCGUUUUUUCUGUUCUUUUCGAUUAGUAUAAUUCAACUAAAUCAAUGGUACCCCCCUCCUUUAAUUAGGCUCAUCACUAGAUUAACAUAAUUUUGUGUAUAUCCAUCUUGUUUAUUGUUAGCUGAAAACAAUUUUAAUUUAAAAACUAACGUUAAGAACUUUCCGUCAUAGUCUUUUAUUAUUUAAGACACCCAAAAUAAUGUUUCUUAAACUUGGUGAAAAAUUCUUUUUCCCUUACGAUAAAUGCGGAAGAAUAUAGCCUCCAAAAUAAAUUAUUGAAUGAGUGAAUGUCAUAAACAAAAAGCAACAGGAGUUAAAGUGUAAGUAUUUAGUAUACGAUAAAAGAUUUCAUAUCAGUGGAAAAUGAUUACAUGGUACAGGGAUAAUUGUAAGCUAUAUAUAUAAUAUACUAUAGCUAUAUAGCUAUAGUAUAUUUUAUAUAUAUAUAUAUUUUUUUUUUUUUGAGGCGGAGUCUCGCUCUGUCAUUCUGGCUGGAGUGCAGUGGUGCGAUCUGGGCUCACUGCAAGCUCCGCCUCCCGGGUU
rnacentral:lncRNA from 1 species